rnacentral:lncRNA from 1 species
AGUAACCUCCGUAAUUUGCAUAAUUUUGGGGCAAUAUAUUAGCCCCCACAAAAUUAUACAAUUUACGGGGGUUUCACCCUCCCUUCCUCCCCCGCUCCCCCCCAAAUCUUUUCACUCUAGAAACUUCCGUCUUUCAGUGAUACUUCAUUCUCAAUUUCUCUCUCUCCGCAGGAACUCUUGAUUGAAGCUCUUUGAAUUGAAAUUCGCUCUCUACGAGUAUUUUAGCUUUGGAUUCAUUGUUAAUUUAUGUUAGAUUCUUUUGGAUUCAGCAUUUGAUGUGUGUGAUAUUCUCUUUGUUGGCUUCAAGUAAGUAGUUACCCAUCAAAGUUUGACAGCAAGUAGGCAAUCCGUUUUCACUUCUAAUUCUUCAUGUCCCAUUUCUUUGGCUAAUUUUAGUCGUCACUUGAUACAAUUGUAUUGGGAUUUUAUAUCCUAUAAGGAACAAGUUAUGUAAUAACCCCAAAUCCUCUCGCUUACCAUUUUACCCAUUUGAUGAAACCUAGCAAUUUUGUUGUUGUGAAUAGUUUAAUCGUGAAGUUGAAGGGCAAUUCUUAUAUAUCAACAAAAGAAAAAAAAUUGCCCUAUUAGUAUAAUGAAUAUUUUCAUACAUUUCCCCAAUUACUACUUCUUGUGUUAGAUGCUUUGCUAAUUGAAGUAUUCUAGCAUCUGGCGCACUUUGAUUUUGUACCAGAUUUUUCCUACAUUUGCACCCUAAUUUCAUACAUUUGUACCAGAUUAUUCCUUUCUUCAUUGUUAAUUGAAGUAUUUUUUUAAUAGUUGUGAAUAAUUUCGAAAAUUUAUAUGCAUUUUUAUGCAUGCACGUAUGGUAAAUAAUAGUUCUGUUGCAACAGUCUUUUUGCACGCUACUGUGGUCCAUCCUUCCUCCAUAUUCUUCUCCUCAUUGUUGCCUAAUUUAUAGGCAUUCAAUCUAGAUACUGAUGCAUCAAAAUUCCCAGCAGAACUGUUACUGGAAUUUGCAGCAAUUUGAACACUUUCAUGUCCAGUUGUUUUUAACACAUCAGUUGCUUCAGUUGUAAUUGCACCAGAUUUUCCUCGAGAUAGCACUUGUCCAGCUCUUAUUUCCCCACCUACAUCUUGCACAGCAGUAGCUACAAUAGUUGUUGAUUUUUCAACUAGAUCAACUAAUGCAGCAGGAUGCUUAGCAACUCCAGCAGUAGUCUCCACCUUAUUAGUGAGUGCAUUGAGAGGAUUCAAAUUCUCCAGUAUUUUAGCUUAUACUGUCGUGAGGUUAACAAUGGUAGGCUUGAGUGAUCCUCCCUCAAUCUUCAUAAUCUGCAUAUCCAUACCCUCAACUAGAUCAUUAUCCAUCAAAACCUCAUAAGAGUUCAGGCUACACAAAUGUUUUGCACUACCAUCAGUUUGAUCACCAUGAUCGCGACCAGCAGCACUUUGUUUUGCAGCUGUAUUUUUACCAGCAAUUGUAAUCCAAUAUUCCUCCAUAUUUUUUUCCUCAUUACUACCCAAAUUUUGUGCAUUCAAUUUAGCUAUAGAUCCAUUAACACUCCCAGCAGAAUCAUCAUUGCUACUGGAAUUUGCAGCCACUUGAUCACAUUCAUGUCCAGCAUUUUUUCCUUCCUGCAGUUAGUUAGUUCUGUCUAUGGAGAUCAAGGUAUGAUAUGUUAUUUAGUUUUAACAAAAAAAAUUCACUCCAUUUUUAUGCUUUAAUACAGUUACCCUUUUGUACAUUUUGCUAUGUUACUAUAUAGCUAGUGUGUUAGUGCUCCAGAUGAGUGAAUAUAUGUAAUUUUUGUGGUUCUCUUCAAAGCACAAAAAUAUUUCAUCUCAAUGACUUGUUUCCUGAUACUCCUCUUAAUAGUUAUAUUUUUUUUACUUUUUGCUGCAGCCAAGUGAUGCAGCUCGUAGACCUGUUUCACCUAAAGAUGCGAGAAGAUCUUCUGGCCAAUGACAACCAUUGAGAUUCAUUUUAACUGUAGUGAAUGUAUUAGGGCAAUGUAAUAGUUGACUAAUAUGGAUGAUUAACUAUAUAUUCUUAUUUACCUUGAUGACAUAUGAUACUACCCUGUCAUAGUAUUUUUCAUGAUUAAUGAAUUGUUGAUGUUUCUUAA